UAACCCAACUCGUAAUCAUCUUCCUAAUGUACCGAACUUUAUCAGUACUGAGUAUAGGUACCGAACUUUAUCAGUAACCCAACUCACAAACAUAUAAUCUGAAAUAAAUGGAUUAUUAUCAUUAUUAUCAUAAACAAUGUACUGAACUUUGUCAGUAACCAAUCUGAAAUAAAUGGAUUAUUAUUAUUAUCAUCAUAAACAAUGUACUGAACUUUAUCAGUAACCAAACUCAUAAACAUAUUAUACAAUCUUUAGCAAGCAGUCUUUCAAUAAUAAUG